GUGGUGUUAUUGGUGUUACCUUGUCUAGCAGUCUGAGCAGGUCAGGGGAUGCAGAGAAAGUAAAAGAAACUGUAGUUCACAAGGGUGGGGGCCCAAGCUUUGGUUCCCAAGGGCCUGGAUUUGAAUCCCAGAUUCAUCACUUUUUUUUUAAAUUAAUUAUUUUUAUUUUUGGUUGCACAGGUGUUUGUUGCUUUGUGGGCUUUCUCUAGUUGCCUCGAGUGGGGGCCGCUCUCUGUUGUGGUGCCCUGGCUUCUCGUUGCGGCAGUUUCCUUUGUUGUGGAGCACAGGCUCUAGGCGCAUGGACUUCAGUAGCUGCAGCGUUCAGGCGCAGUAGUUCCGGUUCAAGGGCUCUAGAGCGCAGGCUCAGAAGUUGUGGUGCGCCGGCUUAGUUGCCCUGCGGGGUAUGGGGUCUUCCCGGGCCAAGGAUAGAACCCGUGUCCCCUGCAUUGACAGAUGGAUUCUUAAUCACUGGACCACCAGGGAGUUCAGUUCAGUCGCUCAGCCCUGUCCAACUCUUUGCGACCCCACGGACUGCAGCACGCCAGGCUUCCCUGUCCAUCACCAACUCCUGGAGCUUACUCAAACUCAUGUCCACCGAGUCGGUGAUGCCAUCCAACCAUCUCAUCCUCUGACCACGGAAGUCUUCAUCAUUUACUGGUGAUGUGACCUUGGACAAGCUCCUCCACUUUUCUGUGCCCCGUCUGAAAAGUAGAUAUUGUGUUAGUGACUGCUCCCAGAUUGUGGUCAGAACUGUGUGACAGGUAGCGGCACACAGCAAGCACCCAAUAAACGAUAGUGACUAUUCGCAUGAUUCCCUCCAGACUACCCCAGGAGCAUACCUGGAUGAGACCCAGAUUCCGAACCGAGGGCUGGUGUGGAGGAGUAAGAAGGGAGCCGGGACUCCAGCCCUCGAUUUGGGGGCUGCUUGAGUACUUGGGUGGGGGUGGGGUGGUACUCCCGCCCAACCCCUGCAAGCCUGUUAAUUACCUCUCAGGGUCACGGGUCUUAACGAGCCCCUCCAGGGGAUCUUGGCCCAGCUCUCUGUAUAUUGAUCUCAUCUAAUCUCUCAGCAGGUGGGCGGGUCUCUAAAUCCUCCUUAACUCUCCUUUCCUGCCCUUUCUGGGCAGGGAGGCCCCAGGCAGGGUUUAGCUUGCAGGAAUCAAACCUGGGAAGCCUGGGAAGCUUUGAGGUUCAGGAUCAGGCACAAGUAUGCCCUGGCCUGGACCUCAGUGAUUGGACAUCCCUGGGAUACACCUGGUGCAUACCUGGAGCGUACCUUCCAGGCUUCCGGCCACUAGUCCAUCUUGAUCCUGCUCAACCAGUGUCAGAAGGACAACAGGCAUCUGAAUGGAAUCACUUUUCCUGCUGAAACACAAAAUUGGGAACACGCACGGGGUGCUCACUACAGGCCAGGCCUGAUCCUCAGCACUUCACACUCAUUAUGGACUCACAACCGCCAGUGCUGCUGGCCAAGAAUGGUGCUUCCUGCCCAUCCUGUGGGUGAGGUCAUGUGACUAGUUCUAACCAAAGAGCUGUGAGUGAAACUGACACAUAUUAUUCCCAUGCUAGAGCUUAGGGACCCCAUGGACUGCAGCCUACCAGGCUCCUCCAUCCAUGGGAUUUUCCAGGCAAGAGUACUGGAGUGGGGUGCCAUUGCCUUCUCCAAAUUGCCUGUGCAGGAACUUCCAAAGCUCUUAUUUC
ensembl:lncRNA